rnacentral:rRNA from 1 species
UACAGAGGGUGCGAGCGUUACUCGGAAUUACUGGGCGUAAAGCGCACGUAGUCGGCUUUGCAAGUCGGUUGUGAAAUCCCCGGGCUCAACCUGGGAACUGCAUCCGAGACUGCAUUGCUAGAGUAUGGGAGAGGAAAGCGGAAUUUCUGGUGUAGCAGUGAAAUGCGUAGAUAUCAGAAGGAACAUCAGUGGCGAAGGCGGCUUUCUGGACCAAUACUGACGAUCAGGUGCGAAAGCGUGGGGAGCAAACAGG